GAGGAACAUGCUUGAAAGGGGUGUGCUGGUCUCAGAGGGUUAGGUUUCUCAGUUGGCUGGGCAUCAGCUGGCCAUGCUUUAGUUAUUUGAUGGGAGGAAAAAUAAGUGCGAGGUGAGGAGUAACUCCUGGGCUCUGAUGAGUAUUCUAGGCAAGUACAGAUCUGGAAAGCCUGUAUGCAAAGGAGGAACUCACUGAAAAGUGCUGGCCUGAGG
rnacentral:lncRNA from 1 species